rnacentral:rRNA from 1 species
AGUGAACGCUGGCGGUAGGCCUAACACAUGCAAGUCGAACGGCAGCACAGUAAGAGCUUGCUCUUACUGGUGGCGAGUGGCGGACGGGUGAGUAAUACAUCGGCAUCUACUUUUUCGUGGGGGAUAACGUAGGGAAACUUACGCCAAUACCGCAUACGACCUACGGGUGAACGUAGGGGAUCUUCGGACCGUGCGCGAUUGAAUGAUCCGAUGUCGGCUUAGCUAGUUGGCGGGGUAAAGGCACACCAAGGCGACGACACGUAGGUGGUCUGAGAGGAUGAGCAGCCACACUAGAACGGAGACACGGUCCAGACUCCUACGGGAGGCAGGGGUGGGGAAUGUUGGACAAUGGGAGGAAGCCUGAUCCAGCCCUACCGCGUGGGGGAAAAAGGCCUUCGGGUAUUAAAGCCCAUUUGUUGGGAAAGAAAAGCAGCAGGUUAAUACCCCGCUGUUCUGACGGUACCCAAAGAAUAAGCACCGGCUAACUUCGUG